rnacentral:lncRNA from 1 species
AUUAUCUCUCCGUACCACCCCCUAAAAAUGUUUGCUGCCCCAAAACUUCAAUACUAUUUUAUGUUAUUUUUCCUAUUGAUAUAAGGCAGCCUCCUCCUCCCAGGCUCUGGUGAUCCUCCCAUCUCAGCCCCCUAAGUAGCUAGGACUAUAGGCAUGCUCUACCAUGCCUGGCUAAUUUUUUGCAUAAUUUUUUUUUUGUAGAGACAGAGUUUUGCCAUGUUGCCCAGGAUGCAAAAUAUUUUAGAAUGACUCGCAUUUAUGAGUGGAUACAGGUUUCCCCUCUCUCUUUGGAUAUUUACCUGACAAGCCCCUGGUAGUCCUGAGUGGCUUCCCGUCCUGAUUUAUAAUCUCGAAUGAUCUAAGAAACCUCAAGCGUCUUAGGGGGAGUGGGAUCAAAGUGCCCCUUCCCACUUUUUGUGAGGGUUAAAUGAGAUAAUACAUGCAGUGUGCUGAGCUCAAGGCCCACUCCUGGUGUAUACUCAGUCAAUGAAAGUCAUUGAUAAACACUUUAGAAAACAUAAGCAUCACAUAAGGAUGAUUAAAUGACUGUUUUGUGUUUUCCUCCAGGAGCUGGGCAUAGAUGCCGUGAGCUUUGGUGUUUGUGGAUCUGUUAGAGAAACUCUUGUGUGAUUCAGGGAUUGACUUACACAGGUACUGUAGGCUGCAGUCAGAGGUGGUUCAUCUCAGAAUAUCCCUCUCUCCAGGGAAGAGGCCUCCCAUGUGAGUGACUUAGAGGUUUCCCAGUAG